CUACGUGCCAGCAGCCGCGGUAAUACGUAGGUGGCGAGCGUUAUCCGGAAUUAUUGGGCGUAAAGGGUGCGUAGGCGGCCUGUUAAGUAAGUGGUUAAAUUGUUGGGCUCAACCCAAUCCAGCCACUUAAACUGGCAGGCUAGAGUAUUGGAGAGGCAAGUGGAAUUCCAUGUGUAGCGGUAAAAUGCGUAGAUAUAUGGAGGAACACCAGUGGCGAAGGCGGCUUGCUAGCCAAAGACUGACGCUCAUGCACGAAAGCGUGGGGAGCAAAUAGGAUUAGAUACCCUAGUAGUCCACGCCGUAAACGAUGAAUACUAAGUAUUGGGGAAACUCAGUGCUGCAGUUAACGCAAUAAGUAUUCCGCCUGUGGAGUAUGCACGCAAGUGUGAAACAUAAAGGAAUUGACGGGGGCCCGCACAAGCGGUGGAGUAUGUGGUUUAAUUCGACGCAACGCGAGGAACCUUACCAGCGUUUGACAUC
rnacentral:rRNA from 1 species